rnacentral:rRNA from 1 species
AUUGAACGCUGGCGGCAGGCCUAACACAUGCAAGUCGAGCGAGCGGCGGACGGGUGAGUAAUGUCUGGGGAUCUGCCCGAUAGAGGGGGAUAACUACUGGAAACUGUAGCUAAUACCGCGUACCAUCGGAUGAGCCCAUGUGGGAUUAGGUAGUUGGUGGGGUAAAGGCUCACCAAGCCGACGAUCCCUAGCUGGUCUGAGAGGAUGACCAGCCACACUGGGACUGAGACACGGCCCAGACUCCUACGGGAGGCAGCAGUGGGGAAUAUUGCGCAAUGGGGGCAAGCCUGACGCAGCCAUGCCGCGUGAAUGAAGAAGGCCUUCGGGUUGUAAAGUACUUUCGGUAGCGAGGCGUUAACGACAGAAGAAGCACCGGCUAACUCCGUGCCAGCAGCCGCGGUAAUUC